CCGUGUCGAGCUUUUGCUUUGUAUUGCUUUUCGUUUUUCUGUUGUUACAAUCAACACCCCUAGGGUGUCUUUUAUACACGUCCACAAGGGACUAUGAAAAUAGACUAGGACUAGGAAUCCUAAUACUACUAGGACUCGGUUUGGAUUUCUUUCCUAAUCCUACAUGAGCAACAUGAUUAACAUCUACAGCCGCUGCAAAGAAGCGACACCGUCCGCCUCCACCUCGUGUGCGCACGCGCCCCUGACCAACUCCUCCACGCACGUCAGUCGUCGUCUGCUCCACACCGCGCUCACCGCCUGCCACACUCCGUGCGUACCGGGUCCAGCCCCCGUGCGUCUUCGGCCCGCCGCUGUACCGCGCCUGCCUUAGUCGUGGGAUCUCACUUCGCCUCCACCACCGAGGCCUCGCGUAGCUGCAUCGGUCGCAAUCCGCCUUACCCACGCCGGCUCACCUCACCUCCGCCGCGUCCGAGCCGCUGGGCUGCAGCUCCGCCCUCGCCGCUGGGCUGCAGCUCCGCCCUCGCCGCUCGCCCUCUGCCAGCUCACCUCACCUCCGCCACGUCCGAGCCGCCGGGCUGCAGCUCCGCUCUCGCCGCUCGCCAUCUGUCGGCUCACCUCCACCUUGGCACUGCUAAGCUACUGGCUACCGCGAGCCGCCGUCUGCUCUAAACCGCGCGCUCCGCCUGCCGCGUCGCCUGUUGCCUUCGCGGGUCCGGGUGGCCGAUAGAAGGGAAAGAAGCGGGCACCAGUUACCCAUGUUGAGAUGGACUAAAACUCAAAGGGAGCUGAGGCUGGUUGGUCAAUCUGCCCGGACUAAUCCUCAGCACAAAGCAUACGUACACCAAACUAUGCCGCCGUCAGUUUGGACAUCAAGCGAGAAUUAU
rnacentral:lncRNA from 1 species